GACGAACGCUGGCGGCGUGCUUAACACAUGCAAGUCGAACGGAAAGGCCUCUUUCGGGGGGUACUCGAGUGGCGAACGGGUGAGUAACACGUGAGUAACCUGCCCUUGACUUUGGGAUAACUUCAGGAAACUGGGGCUAAUACCGGAUAGGAGCUCCUGCUGCAUGGUGGGGGUUGGAAAGUUUCGGCGGUUGGGGAUGGACUCGCGGCUUAUCAGCUUGUUGGUGGGGUAGUGGCUUACCAAGGCUUUGACGGGUAGCCGGCCUGAGAGGGUGACCGGCCACAUUGGGACUGAGAUACGGCCCAGACUCCUACGGGAGGCAGCAGUGGGGAAUAUUGCGCAAUGGGUGGAAGCCUGAUGCAGCAACGCCGUGUGCGGGAUGACGGCCUUCGGGUUGUAAACCGCUUUCGCUCAUGACGAAGCUUUGUGUGACGGUAGUGGGUAAAGAAGCACCGGCUAACUACGUGC
rnacentral:rRNA from 1 species